rnacentral:tRNA from 1 species
CAAAGGAUAGUUUAUAAUAAAAUAUUAAUUUUGGAAAUUAAUGAUAAGAUUUUCUUUCCUUUGA